rnacentral:rRNA from 1 species
CACGGGGGCAACCCUGGUGGCGAGUGGCGAACGGGUGAGUAAUAUAUCGUAACGUACCCUAGAGUGGGGGAUAACGUAGCGAAAGUUACGCUAAUACCGCAUACGAUCUACGGAUGAAAGUGGGGGCUCGCAAGACCUCAUGCUCGUGGAGCGGCCGAUAUCUGAUUAGCUAGUUGGUGAGGUAAAGGCUCACCAAGGCGACGAUCAGUAGCUGGUCUGAGAGGACGACCAGCCACACUGGGACUGAGACACGGCCCAGACUCCUACGGGAGGCAGCAGUGGGGAAUUUUGGACAAUGGGCGCAAGCCUGAUCCAGCCAUGCCGCGUGCGGGAAGAAGGCCUUCGGG